rnacentral:pre_miRNA from 1 species
AAAGACUCAAUUUCUGGGUUUUCGUGUCCUACGUUUGACUGUCCGUCUUAUGUGAAUUUUUUUCAUGAUUAGUAUUUUCAUUGUUGUUAGAUGAUAAAACAUGAAUAAUACUUUAUGUGUGAUUUAUCUUUUUAAAUUUUUUUAUUUUUUUUAAAUAAGACGGACGGUCAAACGUUAGACACGGAAACUCAAGAAUUGAGUUAUU